ensembl:lncRNA
UCUGUUCAAGGUGGGGCUCACUGGGUGACCUGCGGACCCUCAUGACCCAGAACCAAAAGCUCCCCUGACACUGUCGGCUGCCAUGAGAUUCAGUGAGCGUCGGCCCUUCAGGCGGGGAGCACGGUCCGUCUGGGCAGAGGAGUGGUGGAGAUAAGACAGGGCAUGACCUCGACUCCAUGACAGCCAGCAAGCCCGCUCCAGGAACCCAACUGCCGUGACUCACAGCCCGCCAAUCAGGACGCCAGGCUGCCUGCCUUUUCCAGCCAAACACACCUGUAACCUGCCAGCCAUCUGUUGGGCCACACCCCUGCCCUAGCCGUUCCCGAGAGAAAUACAAACCUCUUUACAUGGUGUAUUUCUCUGCGAGUCCUGACCCGGGCAGUGGCCUGGACUGAGCCCGGCACAGCCCCGCGCUGCCGGGUGGGGCCUGGCACUCGAAUCAGGACCUUGGCGGUCACACUGG